CUUCGGUGCUCAUGUUCCACACCGCGGGGUCUCAACGUGAGCCUCGGAGCAUUCAAAGGAAAGGUUUGUUUUGCCGAUGGCUCGCUCACCUUCCCACAUCAACGAAGAACACGACCAGAGGAAGGACACCUAAGCGCUACGUUCGCGGAUUUGUUGGCGACUACCUACGGCGAGCAACUACCCAUAAUCUAUGGUUCUAUUCAUCAAUCAAAUUGCUCAAGUCUCUUUGGUGCUCUUGCUUCACACCGCGGGGUCGCAACAUAAGUUAUGGUUAUACUCUACGAUGAAACUUCUCAACCGCCAUUUUGGUGAUCUUGCUUCAUAUCGCGGGGUCCCAACCUAAGCCUGUUCUCUUCAAGGGAAAACUUUGCUCGGCCGAUGCAUUGCACUGCAACCCCCACCGUCACAGGACACUACCGGAGGAAGCACACUUUGGCACGCAAAUCUCGGUAGAGUUUCAGGGUUCACGAUUGUUUUUUUUACAUUAUAAGGGUUUAGGAAAACUUAUGAAUGGCUUGGGAAGUAUGAAGGCUGCCUGGUGUUUAAUCUUGAUGAACUCUUAAUUUAGAACAGUUAAGUCAUUUCACCAUAUGAGUAAACCUUUGAGUUUUUAUCUUGUCAUUUUCCCUUGAUAACUUUGUCAUUUUCCCUUGAUAACUUUAACUUCAAAUCUUGGACCCUGAAUCUCCCUAGUUAACCAAAUGUCCUUAUUCUUACCAGUUUGUUGACUAAUGGUUACUUAUCGCAUGGUUAAAAUAUUUGUAGAUUUUUUUAAUAUAAAUCGAACAAAUGUCUA